CUGGGCAUUAUAUUGUGUUAUGAUAGCAAAUUGGAAUUUUUAUUUUUUUUAUAUAUAAUUGACAAUUUUUUAUUUUCAUGUUUGCAUAAAAGUAAACGUAAAAGUAAACAUCUGAGGGGUACAGAAAAAAAGAGGGGGAGGGGGUUACAUAGCUUUCAUUAUACACGACAUGUCAAGUUUGAUUGGAAUCUAUACAUCGUUUGUACUAGAAUUGUUUGCUGGUGAUGUUGCGUGCCUAUAAUUGACUGCAUGGUCUUAUUAAUGUAGUUCGGUCCCUAAGUGGUGCUGGGGGUACCAUGCCUGCUGUGGAAGAACAUAAUACACAUUUACAUAAAACUAUGUACAAGAAUCUGGUUACACCUAUGUAUGCUUCUCCUUGUGUCAAGGUUCUCUGUUGUGUUGGGUUUGAUCUAGGCUUAACAGUUGGGUCUGUUGCGCUUGAGCUUUGUGUCCCUUUUUCGGGGUUACUAUCUCUGUUUGCUUUUGUCAUUGUUCCAACUCCGCCUUCAGUUAGUUUUAGUUGUUUUGCUUGUCAUGAUGGGUCAUACGAUGUGUUUCUGUUUGUUUUGAGGGUUUUUGCUUCGUAUUGGAGCCACAUGUUGUAUGACUCUGUGUUUGUGCGGUCCGCCUGCCCUAGUGUCCCCGCAAAUAUUUCAUAUAUCACAUUAGUGGAUGAUAGGUUGAGUAUCUCUGUUUUGGUGGAAAUCGCUGGGGACUUCCAUUGUCUUGCUAUUAAUGUCAUUGCCGCUAUCGUGAUGAGAUAGAUUAGCUUUCGUAUGGGUUUCGUGAGAUUCUGUGGUAAAAUGAGUAGAUACAAGUCUAUAGUAGGUUGGAUCUUUGUACCUGUACUAUUUUUAAUGAUAUCUUCUACCUCUUUCCAUACCGGGUGUAUGUGUGGACAGGUCCACCAGAUAUGUAAUGUGUCUCCUUUUGGCUCUAGGCAUCUCCAGCACUUGGCGUCAGUGUUGUUGUACAUUUUAUUCAAUUUGCUAGGGGUGAGGUGCCACCUGUACAGUAAUUUUCUAGAAACUUCUAGAUGAGAGGCGCACCGUGUUGUGCCUUUGUGUGCUAAGAAGGCUCUUCCCCACUCCUGGGGUGUCAAUUCCCUCCCUAUGUCUUUGUGCCAUUCUUUUUGAAAUCCCCACAGGUGACCCCCAAUGAGUAUAUUAUAGCAGAGUGAUAGAGUUUUGACCUGCUGUCUCCUGUCGAGGCAUUCAUUUUCAACUUCAGUUAGUUUUGGUUCCCCAUUCGCUGCCUUUUUGUGUGUGCCUUCAGUUCGUAAUGUAUGGUGUAGUUGCAUGUAUGAGAAUUGGGCCCUGUUUGGUACUUUAUGUUGUGUUUGUGACACCGCCACGUCACCCUGGGUUUCUUGUUUUGCCAUCCACAUCUCAGAAGUGUUGACUGCAGUGCUUUAAGGUAUUUGGAGGGGACAUUUAUUUGUAGUGUUCGAAAUAGAUAUAGAAUUUUUGGCAAGAUCAUCAUUUUGAUGGCCGCGCAUCUGCCCACCCAGGAUAGGUAUUUGCCCUCCCAAGUUUUCAAUGUAUUCUCAAUUUCCGUGUGGAGUUUUUGAUAGUUCAUUGUGAAAAGCGAGUUAUAAGUUUUCGUGAUUUUGAUACCCAGAAACGUGAGGUAAUCCUCUCUCCAUUCGUAGUUAAAUGCCGCUUUGAGUCUGGUCAAUGCGGUGUCCUCUAUGCCUAUUCCCAUUGCUUGGGUUUUAGUGAUGUUUAGUUUGUAGUAUGAGUGUGCGCUUGUCACGAUUCGGGGAACCAAACACGCCAACACAC